UACGAAGGGGGCUAGCGUUGCUCGGAAUCACUGGGCGUAACGGGUGCGUAGGCGGGUCUUUAAGUCAGGGGUGAAAUCCUGGAGCUCAACUCCAGAACUGCCUUUGAUACUGAGGAUCUUGAGUUCGGGAGAGGUGAGUGGAACUGCGAGUGUAGAGGUGAAAUUCGUAGAUAUUCGCAAGAACACCAGUGGCGAAGGCGGCUCACUGGCCCGAUACUGACGCUGAUGCACGAAAGCGUGGGGAGCAAACAGG
rnacentral:rRNA from 1 species